CUGCACGAGCGUCCUGCUACUGUCGCCUCCAACCUCUGUUGCCUCCACCGCUGGCCAUAGCAGAUUUUUCUCCUUCACCCCUUUUUUUGCUAGGUUUCACGUUUUUACAAGAGGCGAAAGGCUCCUCACCCAAUCCAAACCGUACUUCUGACCUAGAUCUGCUCACUGUUCAUGCCUUCCUCUUCUGCUCUGCUCCUUUGCUUCUGGAUACCUGUAGCCGUUCAACGCAACCGCCGUAAAAAGGGCGAAGGAGCUUGGCGCCAUUGUUGUUGGAAAGACUAAUCUAGAUGAGUUCGGUAUGGGUAGCACCACUGAAGGUUCUGCAUUUCAGGUCACAGCCAAUCAAUGGGAUCUUUUUAGGGUGCCAGGAGGAUCAUCAGGAGGAUCGGCAGCUGUAGUUUCUGCCAAGCAGUGUGUGGUAUCACUGGGAAGUGAUACUGGUAAAAGCGUGAGACAGCCAGCAUCUUUUUGUGGUGUUGUAGGUUUGAAGCCAACUUAUGGCGUAUGCGUCUUCACUUGAUACUAUU